rnacentral:misc_RNA from 1 species
GAUGAAGAACGCAGCGAAAUGCGAUACGUAUGUGAAUUGCAGAAUUCAGUGAAUCAUCGAGUCUUUGAACGCACAUUGCGCCCCCUGGUAUUCCGGGGGGCAUGCCUGUCCGAGCGUCAUUGCUGCCCUCAAGCACGGCUUGUGUGUUGGGCCUCCGUCCUCCUCCCGGGGGACGGGCCCGAAAGGCAGCGGCGGCACCGCGUCCGGUCCUCGAGCGUAUGGGGCUUCGUCACCCGCUCUUGUAGGCCCGGCCGGCGCUUGCCGACACAUCAAUCUUUUUUCCAGGUUGACCUCGGAUCAGGUAGGGAUACCCGCUGAACUUAAGCAUAUCAAUAAGCGGAGGA